rnacentral:lncRNA from 1 species
ACUCCUUAUUAUUGCUGGGUGGGGUGGAAGUCCAGUCUCCCCUCAUGAUCUUUAGUGAUGCUCUUGUGGAGUAAGAUUCAUUACUAGUCCAUGGGGAUGAAAGUUCUGGCUUCCUACUUGGCCUUCUCUGACACUAUCCAGUGGGGGUUUGGGGUGCUUCCUCUAUGGCCUUGAGAAUGUGAAAUUAAUUAAUUUCAUACAUCUCACAGUUACAUAUUUUUAAAAAAUUUUCUGAUACAAACAAUUCUCAUUUCAGAAGAAAAAUGACAACAGGUGAGCAGCAAACAAUUAAACAAAAUACAAUGUGUUAUAUUCUCAUCCUUUACUGAAUAGCUAAAAAAAAACCCACCACUUUAAAAUUAUCCCCUGACAAAGGUUAAUAAAUGGUUACCUGUUAUCAGUUAAAGAAGCAAGGAUAUGGGUACUGUCAGAUUACUACUGAAAUUGUAAAUCAACAAACUCUAUUAGUCUUAAAUGUCAUAAACUUUGACCCAGGAAUUAAUUUUCAAGGAAUUUUUCCUGAUGAAGUAAUUUGCUAUAAGAUAUAAUGAUUUAUAUACUAAGUUUUGUGACAGGGCUACUUAAAAGAUUUUGGAAAUAGCCUAUAUGAUCAGUAAUAAAGAUGGAUUAAAUAAUGGUCCAUGUCAUUAAAAUUAAUUUUUAGGAGACUGUUUAACAUGGAGGAAAUAGUCAUUAAAUAGGAGGGAAAAACAGAUUAUAAAACUGAGCAUACAAUAGAUUUAAUUAGACUUUGUUUUGUUUUUGGCAUUGUCGCUAGGGACCUGGAACUUAAAUUCUCUUUCAAGUGCAGAGAUAGAUCCAAGUGUUAAGGGGCCCUGAAGCUUACAUGGUUUAGGGGACCCUUUUUAAGAAAGAAUACAGAAUUGUGUACGCAGGUGAAUAUUUGUUUAGGAUAAGAAAAGAGGCAUUUGUAUAAACAAAGGACCUGAAAGCCCAGUCUUAACUCAUUUUGUGGUGAAUCUGCGUCUGCUCUAAAGUAUAAAAUUUGGUUUACAUACACUGAGACUUCAUUAAUCUUACUUAUAUCUUCUUCCUCUAUAUUUUUGAUUAUAUGCUGAAUUGUUUUUCUGAACUUCUCCCGAGUUUCUAAUAAUUCUUGCAUUGACUUACUUUUUGUCGUGUAAAUAAUUUUGUUUCAUUAAGCUUAAUGAUAUUAUAAAGUCUCAUUAUAGCUCAUGCCAAAUAAAUUUUACCAUGUUUAAUACUGAUGUUUUUAUCUUUCUUCUGCUGACUAAAUUUGUUGCAUUUUUUUGCUUACCCUUUUAUUAUUAACCUUCUAUUUUUUUUUUCUUUCUUUGGAGCCUGUUUGUUUUUUAAGGAAGCCUUAUAAGUUUAUUGCAGUUAUUUUGGUCUCAGUUUGGCCUCUUUGUAUUUUUCUCUCCUUACUUCUGUGUUUGACCUGUGUUGUAGGGUUGUUGUUUUUUUGUUUGUUUGUUUCACAGAAACUUUUAAGGAGUAGCAUCUAGUUUUACUACUGGUUGUGUGUGUGUGUGUGUUGGGGGAGGGAAUGUAAAUAACGUUUUCAUCCAUGAAUUUUUUUCUUCUGAGUUGUGGUUGUGAAUGUUUGUGAAUCUGUGAAGAGUUGGUUGGAAGAGACAAAUUAUGUACUGUAAGUUUUCUUUUUCCCUAAAGCAUUUAGAGAUUCCUUAAGUAAGGGAGAAUUCAUGUAGCUUGGGUUAUGUUGCGUAAAUUUGUAUUGUCACAAUUCAGUUGCAGUUUGACUGAUAACUUGUCUUUCAAAUGAAAUCACGUGAACUUGCCUAGGCUUAUAAUCCCCACAGUCCUUCUGGGGUCCUUUUAGGGAGUGUGUGUGUGUGUACAUUCAGGCAAUGCAAACUUAGGUUGCUUAGCUCUUAGUUGACUGGUGCCAAUUAAAAAGCAGUUUUGCUAAUACAUAUUAAAGUGCUUCCCAACCUAACACAUCGCUUGCCUUUCUAGUGUUAGUAAUGACAAUUUGUAUUUGCUCUUUAAACAUUUAGGAAGGCCUUGGAACUGAUCCCCACUCCCAUGGAAUAAAGUUAGUAGAAAGAACAAGACUGUUUUACUACCUCUUACUCCGAACAAGACAACUUCCUUUAUUUUGCAUUUUUGGGUGGUGGUUAUAGCACUUGUUUUGAGNNNNNNNNNNNNNNNNNNNNNNNNNNNNNNNNNNNNNNNNNNNNNNNNNNNNNNNNNNNNNNNNNNNNNNNNNNNNNNNNNNNNNNNNNNNNNNNNNNNUGCAUUUUUGGGUGGUGGUUAUAGCACUUGUUUUGAGGUUUGACCACCCUCUCAGUUAUUUUUAUUUUUUCAUGUCACUUUAAGUAUACCCUGUGGUGUUUUAACUAUAAUAUCAUCUUUAAUGAAAUUCAUGCAUGUAUGUUAUGUCUUAAAACAUCGCUUGUUUUGACUUAAUUUGGCUUGUUUUAUGCUAUCUCUGCUUUAUGGUUUUUUUUAAAACAAUUGAAUGCUUAUUUUUCCACAGCCAAACUCAUACUCUUAAUAGGUUUGCAGUGUUUGUUUUCUCUGUUUAACAUAUAAAUGAUUUAAGAUAUGACAUAAGUUACAACUGCUUGGUUUGCUAAGGCUACUCACCCUUCCACCCGCAGCAGCUCAGCAGAGUACAGAUGUUUUGCCCUUAUUGGAAACUAUAUCCUAAAUUCAGUUAACUCCUAAUCUUAUGUUAGCUGGAAUAAAGAUAUAGUAGAACUUUUGUCCUUUAAAAUUGUUUUUCUUACCACUGUUUAGCUUUCACAGGGCUUAUUGAACAAAUUUCAGAAUCGGUGAAACUUUGUGAAUAAUUUGCAAUCUUUUUUAAAACUUUAAUAGAAUUGGAAAACAUAUAUUCCCUGAAAUAAGUUUCACUCUCAACAAUUGGUGUAGUUUAGUCCAGCAUGUGCCAUAACUUUUAAUUUAAAAUAGAAGUGUCUUAUAAAAUAGUUAA